GAUUUGAUUUGCAUUUCCCAAAUG
rnacentral:piRNA from 1 species